GCUGUGGUGAAGGUAAAAGCCACUGCAGGUGGAGCAGCUUAAUGGGGUAUUAAUUGGAAAGCAGGUGAAGGCAAAUAGGUAGCACAGCAGGUAUGUAAAUAGGCUCGUGGGAAGAAAGGCAUUGAAUUUUAUGCUCUUUAACUAAAAAUAAAGACCUGAUAUUUAGCUUAUCUUUGCUGAAAUCCUACACUGUGAGGGCCCUGACAACCGCCAACAUCAUCAAUGAUUCAUUAUUAUCUCAGCAUCAUCCUGGCUACUUAAUAAGAUCUUCAGCCUCUUCAUUUUUCAUUGUUUCAGCUGAUUCUUUGGCUUUAGAAUGCAUACUUUUUCUUCUCUCUCUAUAUAUAUCAGGGUCAGAACAAUUUUUGUAGAUUGUGUAGAGGAGGUAACAUUUCAGUCUAUUGCCUGCCUUCUGGUGGCAUCCUUUUGUUCUGGCUCAUUGGAGAAACACAGCAUAUGUCCAAUGUGAGUACAGAUAAUAAGACUACCAAGAACACCUACAUCCAAACGUAUAUUGUCCUUCAAACGAGUCACUUUGAGAAGCAAAACAUGUAUUCCACUGCCAUAAUUGGCUCAAAACCUUUUCAAGAAAACCACUUCCCUGGUUAUUUUCGGGGCCAAUUUUUAAGUCACCCAUAUGAAAAAAAUCCUUACAUACAUUCAUCACUUAUUUUCUGCCCCUAAACAUUGCCCAACAUCACCACCUAUUUCAUGACCACAGUUAGUGCUAAAUGACAUUUGGCUUUUAGAAUCCAUCACUGAUACAGAGGUUUGCUGCUGCUCAGACUAUUUCAAAGAACAUGCCUCAGGCUUCUAGAGAAGAAUUCCAUAAAAUGACUGGAGCACUGGCAGCCUCCUUGGGAUAAGUGGCCAGCUUCUCAGAGUGAUGACUUCGCAUGGCACACACUAGAAAUUUCUGAAUUUGGGCAUGCUAGUUUCAAAAUCCAGGCACGUUAUUUUAAGGCUGCCUUUUUGUUUUACUUAUAAUAACUUAGAAAACUAUUGAAAAAAAAACUGCUUAGUAUUUCCCUUCUAGUUAGCCCUCGCUGUGGCGAUAUAUUGGUGGAAAAGUGAGGCAGAACUUGGAUUCUUGGUUACUUGGUUGGCCCACAUUUGUUGUUUUUCUCUGGGGAGAAGUGGCACUGGUUUUGAAGCUGUGCUGAGCACUUUACUGUUGAAAUACCUAAGUAUUAGGGGAGCAGCAGUUUGUACCCCAUACAAUGAACUAAGUUUACACCACCAUGCAGAUCUUUCACUAUAGUUGAAUGCAGCGGAAAUGAAUCCAACUAGGAACCCCGAGGUUCCGGGUUCCAUCCCUGGCCUCGCUCAGUGGGUUAAGGAUCUGGCAUUGCCGUGAGCUGGGGUGUAGGUUGCAGACGCGGCUUGGAUCCUGCGUUGCUGUGGCUGUGGUGCAGGCUGGCAGCUGUAGCUCCGAUUAGACCCGUAGCCCGGAAAC
rnacentral:lncRNA from 1 species